rnacentral:misc_RNA from 1 species
CACACGCAUAGCUACGUGCGGUGAUUGGAUUUCCACCAUACCCUUUGUUUUUCGGUUCCUCUUUUAGCUCUCCACUUUCUUCUCAGCUAGCCUCCUCCCACACUCCGCCGCUUGCCAGCGCAUCGUCCUACCCACCUCCUACUCCGACUACACGCCUACGCGUAAUCCUCGCUUCACGUGCGACUUUCCGUGCGUGUCUUAGCACGUGCGUGUGUACAUGUCUGUACGUUUUCGUAUCCAUUUCCUUUUUCGUUUGUUUUCGCUCUCCCGUCUGCUGUGUGUAUUAGUUAAGCACACAUAAUCUUCACCGCUAAAAUUCCUCUCUACCCCGCCCGCCCUCACAUCCCUCUCUCACGCGCAGAACAGGUACAGUCGCCAUCACAUCAUCAUCAUAGUUUUUUUGUUGUUGCCACUGCCACAUUAACGCGUCCCCUUUCUGUCUGUGUGUCUGUAUGCGUGUGCGUGCGUGUGUGUGUGUGUGCGUCGCUCUUUGUGUGUGAAGGAGUCGGAACGACUCCUGCAGCUGUUUUGUUUUGCUGUUGUUAGUGGUGGCUUCGCCUUUCUUUUCCCUUGUUGCUUGCAUUGCCCACUUGUGUGGGGGUCUGUGUCCUCUGCGUGAGUUUAUUUGUUUGACACGCCUCACUCUCCUCUGGUUUUUCCUCUUCCUCUCUUCUUUUUCUCGAGCCCCUCUUCCUCCUCUUCCUCCUCUUCCUCCUCCCCCUGCUUCUCCAUCCUUCUCUCAGCCGGGAAAGCAAGGAGGUGCGCGUGCGAUCGAGAUCGCAGACGUGCGUGUUGUAGAGAGUUGAAGCAUACGCAGAAAGGCCCUUCCCUCCAUCCCCCCUCCCUCACGUCCCUCUCUCCUACCCACCACCCUUCGUCAGUCGCGCAGACGCAACCGCCAUCGUUGUUUGUGAGUGUGUAUGAGUUUCUUCGUUCUAACAGCACGUUAUCCACACCCGCAUACUCUAACGUAUUCACCAUCUACACCGCCCAUUCUCCUCUCAAGCCGCGUGUGCGUAAGGAAAUCUGAAGCGUUGCAUCCGCCAUCGGUCAUAGAUACGGGUGGACAGCGAUAGAGGCGGCGAAGAGAAACGGGCAUUCCGAAGAAAAAGGAAAACCUAGAAAACGCAGUCAAGCUCCCAAAGCAACGGGCGGCUCGUUUUCUGCUCUUUCCAUGUGACAGAAGUCGUGUUCACCCCCCCCACCACCUCCCCUUCUCCUUGCAUCGACACACCCGCAGACCGACAGAGAUACAGAGAGAGAGAGGUAAACAGGUAGGAACAUCUCCAGCACGUCUCUCUCUCUCUCGAACGCGCGCGCGAGCUUUCUCCGUCUCCAGCGCGUGUGCAUGUGUGCAUGUGUGUGUGUGUGUGUGUGUGUCCUCGAGGCCCUGAUCGCCGUAUUGCUUUGCCUUGCCAUUUUACAGCCUCUCUCACACGCACGCCAUCUCUCGCCCCCUCCCUCUGAGGUGUGCGUGUCGUUCCGCACACGUAUCGACCGCUGGUUCUUUUUCGUCUUGCCAUUUCGCCUCUCCGCGUGCGUCUCUCGUCCUCUAUCCACCACCGCCGCCACCGCCCUCCUCCCUCCCCCUUCCCCACUUGUUCAUAGUGCUACCUUUUCUUCUGCAUCUCACCCUCUACCAGCUUAAGUGUGUGUGUGCGUCCGUCUUUCUGUCUGUCGGUCUCUCUGUGCUCCGCUCACCCCUCUUUUCGUCAAGAACUCUUUCUCGUCUCUGCCACUAACCCCACCUCUAUCCCAAUCCCCCGCACACGCAGACGCACAGGCGUUUCUGCUUCUCUCCUCUUUCCUGCUCGUGUGCGUGUGUGAGUCUCUUGGGUUGCUUUCCAAAGGCCUCUUCUCGCCUCCUCCCCUCCUUCUCUCCCUCACGCCGUCUUCAGCAUACGGGGCGUACAUCAGACACGUGAGUCACCAUGCUGGGGAUGCCAGUGUCUAAGUCCAACAGCGGCGAUGCGGGCCGCGGCGACUACGAGUACGGCGAGUACGAUGGGGUAAUGGACGUGGAGGCGAUUCUACACACGACCGGCGGCGCGUCGCCCAACUCGACCGGCAGCCCCACCGUGGCCGGCAGCGACAUUGGCGUGUACGGGAACUACAUGAGCAUUCAAGGCGAUAACCGCAACGGCGGCAUCCCUACACCGCUUGGUCGUGGAGCGCCUCGCAAGCCCACCCGCAUGAAUGUGAGCCCUGCCGUCAACGGAGAUAACCAGUCCGCCGCGCCGUCCUCGGCAGCCACAACACCAGGCUUCCACGGCGCAGUGGUCGGAAGCAGCUCUGACGGGGCUGCCGCCCCGACCGCGGCGCGCCGUGCGAACGGGUCGCACACGUCGGCCGAGGCGGACACACACGACGCCAGCGCCUUGUCCGCCCGCCAUGGCACACGAAAGUCGCUGCAUACAGACGACGUCGUGCAUCUUCCAGCGAUCGGCAACCAGCAGCAGGUGCGCAAGAAGGCAAGCGAGGUCUUCCCUACUCGCGCGCGGGCGGCUGCGUCAGCCCCGGAUUCCUCAAAUGCGGCCACCUCACCCACCAGCAGCAACGGCAACGCCCGCGCUGCGGGGACCGGCGGCAAGUCGGUGACCAGCGCUGGAAACUUUGAGUCUCUUCAGGCCCCUACCGACAGCUGCGGCGCCGCCUCAAGCAACCAAUACACCGCGUCUGUCGCGGCAUGCAAGCAUAAGCCGCCAUACCAUGCACCGCCGCUCUCGCCGCUGACAGCGAAGGGUCGUCACGGCAGCACUGAUGUCAACCGCACCAGUGCGGCAGGCAGUGCUGCGAUUGGCAGCAGCGUUGGCGCCAGUCUCCAAGACGUCGGUACGCGGCAUCGGUCAGCCACAGACGGCACGGUGAAGCGUGGUGAGUCUGUGGGGACGGAUGAGGGUGGCUACAUGAACGGCCACUGCGGCAGGGCGGCGACGCACCACACAGCGGGCAGCAGCAGCAAAGUCGUGACCGUCUCCAAGACGAACGGGUGGGUCAAGGAAGAGGCACGCCGGCUUGACCACCGCGCCUCAGCCUCGUCCAACACGGCAACCUCGCCCAGGGGUGAUCCGCAGGCUUUCGAGGACGCUAUCAACAGCCUAAAGUCCCGCAACAUCACCCACCAGGCCGCCUCACAGUUCCCACGGGAGCGCAUGAAGGACAAGCCGAGUAAAGGCAGCAUCAGCGCCAAGAGCCCAUCUGCCGACGGCAGAGAUUCGGCGCUCGGCCACAACAGCAACGAAGAUGUCAACACGCACGCGAAGGUAAACACUUCACCGGUGCCGGUGACCCCCAAGGCAUACGUGUGGGCUGGUGACUACGAGAUGGCCAGCACCCCCGGCGUCGGCUCAACGAACUUCAGCGUUGUGCCGAUGCCCAAGGUCAGUCCGCGCCCCUUCGCGGGCGGGCUCAAGCCGUCGACAGCGGUGGACAGCAACAACCGUAGCGGCACCAAGUCUCCUCCGCAGGCCGCUGCGCAGAUCGUCCAUCCUCUCUCGGCAGAAGCCGUGGCGGCCGCCUCUGGCAACGGCGUCACGUCCUCGACAGAGUCCGCCAUCACGCCGCUGCGGAAGGUGUUCACGCGGCCGCAGAAGCCAGCAUCGAACAACAGCGGAGCAGCAGCGCAGGCAGCGCAGAGCACGUGCCCGAUCCCUCACGUCCCGCUCACGAAUCCUCCGGUGGCCACCGCUACCUCUAGCCGCUUCAACAACGCGGCCCAGAGCGCUGCUGCAUCGGCGUCUCCAACACCGUCAAAGACGGCAUUGAUGUCUGGUCAUGCAGUGGCAGCCGCGAAAGGCGACAAGCCGCCGUCUGCCCCGCACACGCCGACCUUGUCGCAUCGGCGCAUCAUGAAUGCCGUUGACACCAGCCAGCACUCCCACGCCCACUACCCAGGCGCAGCUGAGCAGACCUCCCCCACCUACGGCUCUAGCCGUGUGGCAACACACGACCAAGCAAGCGAUGCUGGGAUGGGCUUGCCCUACUCGGAUGAGCGCCGCGCGGCGUUAGAAGCAUGGGCAGACGUAUUGGUGUUAAGCAUCACCAUUCGAGGCCAGAACCUCGCGCCGACCCACAGAGCACGCGAGAUGGCGAAGAUGCGCGCACGCCCCGCUGAUGCGCGGCAGAUGUACGCCCCUGUGAAUGGGCAGGGUCGUCAAGAGGUAGCAGGCGAGCCGUGCGAUUUGAACUACGACGUGCACAACGUUGUCGUGCAGCUGCGCCACCGCAACAGGCCUCUGGUGAUGAACUACCCGCCUCGUUUGCCUCUAGAGGCGGACAUGCGGCCACGCAUGCGGCGCCAGCGCACACCCCGCAGCUUCUAUGGGAAUCGCAUGCCGCACGUCGGGGACGCGUGGUUCAAGGACGCGCUGAACGACGCACGCAUGGUCGAAUCGCCCGACGUCGAGUCCAUGGAGAAGCGUGAAGAGGCAGAGUUCAUCCGCAACGGAGGUGACCCGGCAACCCGGCGCAACCGCUACGGGCAGGCGAACAACGCGUAUGGUCAUCAGCAACAACAACAAACGCCACUUCAGCAGGGCGGCGGUGGCGGUGCUGAGGUGGAGGCGGGCAUCGAUGCCGUGAACCGCAACGGCAUGCGUAUGGAGCAGCCGGCGUCGUAGCGCGAGAAGGGAUCAGCGUGGGGAACAAGAGACGACGCGGUAGAGGCGUCUUCGGUUUUUUCCCUUUCUUGGGACGCUGCAGGGGUGAAGAAGCACGUGUAUGGCGUGCGUUUGUGGCCUGUGUUCACCGCAGGUGCACUCACAUGCUCAGCAUAUUGUGUGUGUGUGUGUGUGUGUCGCUCUGCAGCCAGUAUCCCCUCAUGGAUGGCCUGCCUAGAUAAGGGUGUCUUUGGUGGUCGCGUCAGUGCCCCGGCGGGUGUAUGGUGAAAUGUGAGCCCGCCUCUCUCUUCAGCUCUCCUCCGCCUCCCUGCUGAGGACACCCGCCGGAUCUUGCGCUUGAGGCAGCCGAGCCGUCUCCAUCCAGGAGGUCUGACGGCAGAUGAUGGUGAGAAUUGGCGAUUCGGCAGAACUUGCCCGAGAAGCAGCAAAGAAAACGCGUUCAUGCCGGCUCUGCUAUCGUGUGGCACGAUCGCUCUCUUGCUAUGUCUUGUCGGCUCCCUCUCUCUCUCUAACACACACGCACAAGGGCUAAGAGAAGGAAACUCUUCCCACCCCUUCUCCGUACCCAUGUCUAUGCGCGCCUCUUGUUCGAGCACCUCUUUUUUGGUCAUAUACGCCGCCCUCUUCCGGUGAUGUUCUUACUGUAAUCGGCCCGUGUGUACAUUUCUUCUUGUUUGCCUGCGUGCGUGUGUGUGUGGUGUGUGAAGGAGGAGGGAGGGAAAGAUACCAAGGAGGGCCGAGAGAAAAGCAGGAUAAGGGAGAGAUUCAUUGGCAUACUGCGACGUGGUAUGUAUGUGUGUGUUUCAAACUUUGGCCCCGAAAACCGUUAUGGCGAUCCAUCACGUGCGGAGCGUCUCUCCUUUUUUGGUUAGCUGGUUGGUUGUUGUUCUUUCUCUCCCUCUCCCCUCCUUCAACGACGCACUUCCCUCUCUCUCCUUUUUUCUCCUUCCCCUUCCUCUUUCCCUCCCUCGCUCUUGUCUUACUUAUGCGUAUGCGUAGGUUCGAGGGAAGAGGGGAGGGGGACGGACUUGUGCUGCGAAUGCACUUUGGUUCUCUCUCCCCCUCCCCCUAAAAACGCUGACAGCUGUUCGGUUUUUUUGUUGUUGUUGCUCUCCCACCCCACCCACCCCCACUCCCUCGCUUCUUCUCCAGCCCGCGACAGCGUCUCUCGUAUCAUGUGUAUUCUCGUCACCAAUUUUUCUUGUUUAUCGUGAGUCUCGCUCUGUAUGUAAGCAAGUGCCUCUGACGCCCUCCUUUUCCCUUUCCCCAACCGACCGCAGCCCAGACGAACUGCGCUUUCACGCUCGACCUGUACGCUCCCUCUCCCUACGCCCCCCCCCUCCUGAUGUGUGCCGCUCAUCCUCCCUACGUCGCGGUCUUUUCCUUCGCCGCUCUUUUUGUUUAUUUUUGUUUGUCAUUGCUGCUAUUUUCUCUUGCGUCGCGCUUGCGCGUGUGCCAGCGCAGCACCACCACUAUCACCACCCCCUCCUCUUGCUUUACCGUUUGUAUGUAUGCGUGUGUGUCAUCUCCGCGUGCGUGCGUACGCCCUCGCUGUUGUGUAGUCCAAGUAUGUUGCUGUCUUGCCUGUGUUCUUCUUAUGUGUGUGUGUUUUUCAUGUGGCGGCUUGCGAGAAGGUGCGGCACCAGCGUACGCGUACACGCAGGCGCACAGAGGCCAACACUGACAUCCGUAUACAGAGAAACGCAUGCCUGUCCCUUGAGCUGUAGUAGGAAAUCGCUUCUUUCUGUCUCUCUCUCGCUCUCUGCGUCGUCCCGCUCCCAACCCACCCAUCCACCUCCCAUCCCCUUUCGCUCCCCAUGGAUGCUGAGCGCCUACGUUUGGCUUUCGCUUCGGCUUUGCUGUAAAGGCGUAUGCGGGUGUGCGCACUCUCUUUUUUUUGGGGGGGAGGGAGGGAGUUCCUCCCUCAGUGUUGUUUUGCCCUACAUGCCCCAAUGUGUUCGUUUGGUUGGUUUUCGCAUAUGUAUAUGUACAUAUCUAUAGACGUGUGUGUGUGCGCGCGCUUUAUAUUUUUUUUUUUCGAAUUUUUGGCUGCAAGACCGUCUUCAUAGCACACAACGUUUUUUUUUCUUUUUGCGCAUGUAUGUGCAUGCGUAUAUAUAGAUACAUUUGUGUAUGUGUUGUUGUCCUUUUGUUUCUGUUUUUUUUUGUUUGUUUGUUUUUUUCGGCUGCAUGCGCACGCAGUCUGACCACACCCUGCUGUCGUGUUUACGCCAUUAUCGCUGUUUGCACCCUCAUGAGCCUCUUCCGUGGAUGUGUUUACCCGCGCGCGCCAGCGAUGAUGAUGCCCCACAUAAGCAACUGCAGGAGACGAUUAUGCCAUCUGCACAGAGGCACAGGAAGUGGUGCAGGCGAGUAGGAAAACGAAAGAGGAACAAAACAGCUCAAAACGAUGGCGUCAGCCGUCUCGCCCUUCAAGAGAGGGCCCGAGAUGCUUGAAAGAAAGUGCAGCGGCAGCAGCAGCAGUGCACACACGGGUAUGCUCGCGCACCUCUCUGGGGGAGAGGACGCUCUCGUCCUUUUUCUGUAGCUCGUCACUUUUCCACUUUCCCUCUUCCUGUUUUCGCUCAUGUCUUCAGCUCGCUUUGUGAGCGUACGCGUGUGCUGUGUCCCUCUUCAGAUCAUCGUCCCCCUCCCCUUCCUGCUUUGCCCUCGUCCUUCUUUCACAUCUACGUAGACAGCUCUUCCCAUUUCGCCAUCCGUGUCCCUACUCUCUUGUUCUGCCACGAAUGUUUCUUGUUCGGUUUGGAUUUUGUCCUCCGUUUUUUUUUUUCCUCGCCCUUCCUGUUGCUUUCAAAUUCCCCAUGUGUGCGUGUGUGUGCGCUCCCCUACCCCCUACUCACCUUCCUGCCUACACUCUUUCCUCAUCAGUGUGCGAGUGGCACUAGUCAUGUACGUGUGGGCGUUGGUGAGUGCUUGUGUCUUGUCGUGGUCCUCCUCUUUGCAUCCCUGGCCUCAUACUAUGUUUACCUUCCUCUCUCUCUUUCCCCCGCUGUCCCACACGAUCCCCUCCCCUCUCCUGCCGUCCCUCAUAUGAAAAGCCGAGCAGACGACAUGGAAGCACGCCACGCGCACGGAGGGGGGGGGAAUGCGGAGACAACCGAUCCUGCUCCUCUCUUUCUCCGCAUUUUCCCUCCCUGGAAUUUUUCCCAGAAGAAAAUAGGGUAACAGACGCGCUUCCGGACUAUCAGCACCCCCCCACCCCCCCCCACCCCACUCACCCUCCGGCAUCUCCAACAUCCACCCCAAACCGUCUCUGCAUCCCACUCCCACAUUUCUUUGAUAGCGAGUUUUGCUUUUUGGUAUCCAUUGCUCCCUCCUCCCAUACGUUUUGCUUUUACUCAUCGCGACUCUCUCCCCCUGUGCGCUCAUCAGCCCGUGGCGCGCACAGCUCCUGUCAGCUUCUUGGCCCUUUUUCGGCUUCCGCUCCAUUCUGGCUUUCCCGUCACUGCGCUUGCAUGUUACGCUGGCUGCUUUGCUUCACUUCUUUUUGAACCUGUCCGUGCCUCCCUCUGUUCUCUCCCCUCCCCUCCGCCUCCUCCCCUUCGUGUGUGUGUGUGUAUGCCUUUGAGCACCGCUUGGAUGCUCGUGUUGUUGCCUUGUGUAUGCUCGGACUUCGAGGCCACCCGACCCGCCCAUGCUGUCCCCCAGAGUCAUUGCCCCUCUCACACGUCACGUCACCUCCACGUGAUGCUCCUUGGCGUGCUUCAUUGUUGUUGCUUCUGUAUAUAUAUAUAUGUAUGUGUGUGUGUGUGUGUGUUUGUGUGUUGUCCUAAUCUAAUUUGUUUUGCGGUUUUAUGCGAGACCCAUUAUAGUGACCUCCAUUCUGUCCCUCUCUUUCUCUCCGCAUCGGUUUCCAAAUAUAUAUAUAUAUAUACGUACACCUAUGUGCUCGUCUACUACCUUUGGUGCUCUUGGACGGGGGGAGGGCGGUCGAUGCGAUGGUUCUCUCCACCCCACCCGCCACCACCACCACCCCACUGCCGUUCAUUUUCUUUUUUGUCUGUCCUCUUUGUCUUUCCGCAUUUCCUUUUUUUUUUACCUGCUUCCUUGGGCUCUGCAGCGCCCUCCGUCACACACUCUUUUUGUUGUCUAAUGUUGUUGGGUGUAGCCGUUGUUGUUGUCUUUGGGGGAAAUUGUGGGAAGGGAAGGGGAGUAUCCGUGACUGCUCUGGGCCUUCAAAAAUCUGCUCUUUUUUUUUGCUUCUCUAUUUGCCACCGCUGUCACCAACACCACACCGCCACCACCCCCUGCUCGUCAUGCACCACGGCGGCUUGGGUGUUGCUACGGCUUCUUAUAUAUGUGUGUUUCGGUGUGUGUGUGUGUGUCGUUUUUUUUUUCGCUGUUUCGUUGCUGUCGCUGCCUUGAAUUUUUUGUUUUGUGUGGCGUUAUGCUUGUGCACUGUACUCCUUCCGUUUUCUUUUUUUCUGUGCGUGGCUGUGUGUGUGGCGUGUGCGUGCUCCUGUGUGGUUCAUGGCUUCUGCAUCUCUCUCCCUCUCGCUUAUUCAUUUCUGUGUGCUUCUUCAUGUACAAUCACCUCCCGCCGUUUGUUUUGUUUGUUUUUCGGCCUCUGAUGCCGCUGCCGCUCCUGCUCCCUCUAUCUCCCUGCGAGUCCGUUUCGGCGUUGUUCGUAUCUUCGUGCCUUCCCUUCACUUCGCCAGCAUUACCUUGUUUUUUUCUUCGUGUCGUCCUUAUCUACGCCCUCCGCGCAUGUGUGUGGGUGGGUGGAAUGCAUGGGCAUCCGAGUGGGCACAAGAGCAGAAAAACGGAAAAAGAAAAAAACGGUCAGAAGAACGGCCGAAGAGCACAAGCUGCGGACGGGAAAAUAAAAAUGGCCGCGCCGGCACGGUGAGCGUGCAGCGGCAAUCAAGUCGGGUGCACGUAGGACACGGCGACUUCCUCGCAUUGACACACGCAAAGAUGGGAGCGUGCAAGAGGGAGCCAAAUGCAGGUUUCGAUCAUGUGCAAAAAUGAGCUCAGAACCACAACGGGUCCUUUUCUUUGGUGGGUGGGCAGGUGGGUGUAUAUAAAGGAAGACGAAAAAGAGCAUACUAGUCGAAGCAAGAAGAGCUGUGUUUUGUGAGGGAUAAGCAGCAUGCGGAGUUUGAAGAUUUACGCAUUAUGACUUCUCUGCUCCCUUCUUGUUCACUGAUGCGUCUUCUGAGGCCAUGCUGCAGCUACCAUGUUUGAAGCUGUAUCUCUUCAAAGAAGUUUGAGCGAUGGGAAAGAGCGAGCGGAGUGGUCUUCUUGUGCUAUGGAAUGCCUCUGUGGACUCGUCAUCCCUUCCCCACCGACCCCCUCAGAUAAACACACAAUCACUCCUCGACUCCUCUGUUCUUCUUGUCCACUCUUUGCAUCCGCGCCUCUUCUUGUCGCGUUCAUGUUUCACGUGCAGGAUUUAUGCCCCCCCCUCCUCCCUCGUCAUCCCUGCGUGUAUAUACUGCAUGUGUUCCCUUUAUGUGCCCUUCGUUUUCCUAUUAUUCCUCUUUACAGCUCCCUUUUUCGAUUGCCCUCUCAUCACACACAGAGGUACAGACAUGCUUACACGCACACAAGCACGUACGAGUACCAAUAUCCUGUGCGGUCGUGCCUGUGUGUCUGUGCCUUGUGUGUGUUCGAUGGCUUUCUCCUCCUCUCUCUUCCGUUCUCUGUGUGUGUGUGUGUGUGUCUCCGAUGCCCCCCCUCCUUCAUCGCUCUUUUCUCACCUCUUCCCUCCGUGUUUUGUUCGUGUGUAUUACUUUUCCUGUUCUUCUGCUAGCCUUCCAUGUGAGCACCACAGCGAACGGCCAUGUCUCUUCCUUUUUCUGCAACGGCCCCUCUUCUCCCUUGCCCAACUUUUUCGGGCUCUUGUUUGUUUCUCUCCUCUCCUCCUGCACUCAGCACUCUUUCUGUCUGCGCAUGUUGAAGCGCUGGUCGCUUCCCUACUUCCCUCCCUCUCUUUUCCGUUCUUUUUUCGGACUUUUCCGUGAUGGGUGUGUGCGUUGUAGUUGGCCGGUUUCCUAAUGUAUUGCUGUUGUUCUCGGUGGUGUUCUUUUUGCCCGAUUUCCUUUCUUUGUUCGUGUGUGUGUGUUUGGUGUUGGUGGUCCCCCCCUCCUCCAUGUGUGCAAGCGUGUAGGUGCGUGUACGUGUGUGUGUGUGUGUGUGUGUGUGUCUGUGUCUGUGUAGGUUCGACGAUCUUCAACGUACGUUGAUCUUUUGAUUCUUUAUUCCUCGUCCACUUGGUUCUUCUUUGCAGCUUACGGCGAACGCUGGCCCGCAUCGUUGCCGUUGUAUUUUUUCUUUCUUUUUCCUUUUGUUUUGCUCUUUGCUUUCUUAAUUCCUGACCUCCACAGGCCUCGCGCGUCGCUAUUUCCUUUUUACUGUCGUUCUCUGAGUGUGCCCUCUGUCUUGCUUCUUCGUUGUGGGGCCGCCCCUCUAACGCACACGCGCACUCACCAGCACAUGGAAGGUGCUUGCGUGCGGGCGCUUGUGUACUGGAGAGGCGUGCAUGCACACAAUGUAUCGAUUUGCCUUGUGCGUGCGUAUGUGUAACGCGUUGAUAUGUGCGAGGGAGGGAGAGAGAGAGUGCAUGUGUAUGUGUAUGCAUUGUGUGUCGAUGAGGUGAAGUUGCAGGGAACUUCACAAGUGUGCGAUCUCUCUGUGCGUUCAUGCGGUGUACUUGUGUGUUUUGUGUUUUUUUUUCCGACUCAUCUCAAGUUACCGACAAAGGCCAGACAAAAAAACAAAAAUAUAUAUUGUAUGCACGCGCACACACUCCAAGCAAGAAGUGCGUGGGUCUCGCCGCUGUAGCGCACACGGCCGACUCGCCGAAACCGCCCCCUUCCUUAAACCGUUUCACGUUUUUCUUCUCUUCAGACAUCAAACGACGACGGGGUAUGGGGUGGCGAUGGUGGGAAAACCGUGGAGCUGCUGAUAAGGGAAGGGGGGGGGUAUCGCAGAAGGGCAGAGCAGAGGGAGAGCGCAUAUGUGGGUUGAAGGCGGCAGCGGUACUAGUGGUAAAGGCAGCCCAUCUUUCCUAUUAGAAGAGAGGGAGCUGUCGAGGAGAAUGCCGAGUCGUGACAUGGCGCCGGUUUCGUGAAUCCUAAAGGCCCCCUCCUACCUUCCUCUCUCCACUCCCUCCCAUUCUCUUCUUUGCAUGCUCUCGACAAGCCCUGCACCCAACCCUAACUCAUGCCCCACCUCUCUGAGCCGAGCGCUCCAUAAGGCAAGUGCACCCCUAGGGUUGAACGCCUUUUCUGCGCACCCUUCGGGUGAAUCCUCACUCGCCAUCGUCGACCACUCCCUCUCCCUUUUCUCUACCGCUCUCUCACAACAUACCUGCCCUAUCCUCAUGUGCCGCUUCUCUCGACUCAAAG